CGCAGCCAUCGUUGCCUAGCCCCAGCCGAACUGGCCUUUCCUGGGCCGAACUCCAAGUGAUGGUCCUGAAGGGCUAAUUCCGCUGGGGCCGGGGACAGUUCCUUGGACUGACG